AAAGGGAGACCUAAUUCCGGUAGGAGACGAAAAAAAAGUAGUCCCUACCAAGAAUCAAUCCCAAAAGGUCGGAACGAGGUAUGAGGCUUUCAAACUAGGUUCUGGGUUCAUAAAAGACCUGAAUCAGGAACAAGGGCUAUUAGCUCAGGUGGUUAGAGCGCACCCCUGAUAAGGGUGAGGUCCCUGGUUCGAGUCCAGGAUGGCCCACCUGCACAGGUGGCAAAAACAAAAGAAGCGAGGAAUCAGCACCUUAUCUUAUAUACAUAUAUAAGAGAGAAUGCUGGCUCUGAGUACAAAGUCCAGAGGAACCUUGAAAACUGCAUAGAGCUAGGUGAAAAAGCCAAAAAAGAAGACCGCAAG
rnacentral:tRNA from 1 species